GAUGAACGCUGGCGGCGUGCCUAACACAUGCAAGUCGAGCGGGGUUGAGGCGAGAGGUAACUCGAGCUUCUACCUAGCGGCGGACGGGUGAGUAACGCGUGGGCAACCUGCCUCAAGGUUUGGGAUAACAGCCCGAAAGGGCUGCUAAUACCGGAUAUGCCUAUGGCCUCGCAUGGGGCUAUGAGCAAAGGGGAAACCCGCCUUGAGAUGGGCCCGCGUCCCAUCAGCUAGUUGGUGAGGUAACAGCUCACCAAGGCGACGACGGGUAGCCGGCCUGAGAGGGUGACCGGCCACACUGGGACUGAGACACGGCCCAGACUCCUACGGGGGGCAGCAGUGGGGGAUCUUGCACAAUGGGCGAAAGCCUGAUGCAGCGACGCCGCGUGAGCGAAGAAGGCCUUCGGGUUGUAAAGCUCUGUCUGGAGGGACGAACAAAAUGACGGUACCUCCGGAGGAAGCCACGGCUAACUACGUG
rnacentral:rRNA from 1 species